UACUCCUACGGGAGGCAGCAGUAGGGAAUCUUCCGCAAUGGGCGAAAGCCUGACGGAGCAACGCCGCGUGAGUGAUGAAGGCCUUCGGAUCGUAAAACUCUGUUAUUAGGGAAGAACAUAUGUGUAAGUAACUGUGCACAUCUUGACGGUACCUAAUCAGAAAGCCACGGCUAACUACGUGCCAGCAGCCGCGGUAAUACGUAGGUGGCAAGCGUUAUCCGGAAUUAUUGGGCGUAAAGCGCGCGUAGGCGGUUUUUUAAGUCUGAUGUGAAAGCCCACGGCUCAACCGUGGAGGGUCAUUGGAAACUGGAAAACUUGAGUGCAGAAGAGGAAAGUGGAAUUCCAUGUGUAGCGGUGAAAUGCGCAGAGAUAUGGAGGAACACCAGUGGCGAAGGCGACUUUCUGGUCUGUAACUGACGCUGAUGUGCGAAAGCGUGGGGAUCAAACAGGAUUAGAUACCCUGGUAGUCCACGCCGUAAACGAUGAGUGCUAAGUGUUAGGGGGUUUCCGCCCCUUAGUGCUGCAGCUAACGCAUUAAGCACUCCGCCUGGGGAGUACGACCGCAAGGUUGAAACUCAAAGGAAUUGACGGA
rnacentral:rRNA from 1 species